GGAAAGAAGAACUGUUGCAUUUGCCCUGCACCCAGUUUGCACCGGGUAAAUGCAAUAGUUUUUCUUUCCC
rnacentral:miRNA from 1 species